rnacentral:rRNA from 1 species
AACGAACGCUGGCGGCAUGCCUAACACAUGCAAGUCGAACGAGACCUUCGGGUCUAGUGGCGCACGGGUGCGUAACGCGUGGGAACCUGCCUUUAGGUUCGGAAUAACUCAGAGAAAUUUGAGCUAAUACCGGAUGAUGUCUUCGGACCAAAGAUUUAUCGCCUUUAGAUGGGCCCGCGUUGGAUUAGCUAGUUGGUGGGGUAAAGGCCUACCAAGGCGACGAUCCAUAGCUGGUCUGAGAGGAUGAUCAGCCACACUGGGACUGAGACACGGCCCAGACUCCUACGGAGGCAGCAGUGGGGAAUAUUGGACAAUGGGCGAAAGCCUGAUCCAGCAAUGCCGCGUGCAGGAAGAAGGCC